CGCUGCGGCUCGUGCUGUGCGCGCUGGGGCUGGCGCUCUCCGUGUACGCGCUGCACGUGGAGAGCUCGCGGGAGCGGGCCCCCGGGUACCGGGCCAUGUGCGACCUGAGCCCCUCCGUCAGCUGCUCCAAGGUCUUCACCUCCAGGCUUCGGAGAGCUGCCAAUCUCGCACCAACAGGUCCAGAGCCUGCAACAGAGAGCGCAGGAGAAGGGUCACACUGGGGCUGGGAGCACAGAGAGGAGACCAGAGCUGGAGGCUGCUGCCGAACCCAGCCACCGACAUCGAGAUCCUGGGCAUGACGGGACGCGCUAGACAUCAAUGAGAAGAACCCCAGUGAUUCGGGAGGAAAUCGGAAAACUGAAAAAGUCCAGUUUCCAUUUAGAUCUGGCUGGUUCCUGCCAAUCCAGGCUGAGUGUCUGGGCGCAGGGCAGGUGGAGGUGUCUCCUGCCCCAUACUCAGCAAAUGCAGAGCGCAGGGCUGGGCGGCACGGGUCUACUGGGGCGUCGCUUCAAGAGGGCCGAGGUACGGCUGGGCUGGCGUUUCCCUUAACUCUGCAGGCCCUGGUUUGGCUGAGCACGACACUCUGGAUGGGCACAUGUGGCCCCCCACCAGAAAGCCCUGCUGGAACUGGUCAGUCUUGAGAAAUGCUGAUUUAUUGGGGGGAAGAGGGGGAGCUCUAUCUGGCCCUUGCUCCGCCCGCCCCAGCUUUGGGUCACCAAACCCACUGGGCGCCACCACGAGGCUCCCGACCCUCCCGGCAACCUGAGUCCGCAGGCGCAUUGCAGAUCAUUUAGGGGAGUCGACCAGGACACAGAAAUCUCUUCUCCACCUGUAAUGACCAACCACCCAGAGCUACAGGGCUAAUGAAUAAGAGCCGCCAGAUAAUGGUAAUUAACCGUGAAUACGACAAUUGCAAAUAUUUAAUAAAUACUCAUCACUGGUACUGUUUAGACUCUGCAUCUGAAGCCCGGCCUAGCGGGAGAUCUCUGGGACUUUCUAACCAUCAAUAACAGCCCCAAAGCCUAUAGACUUCCCCUUCUCCAAUCCUAACAGCGCCUGGACUCCUGGGUCCUUCCCAGCAGGGCCAAGGCUGAGAGGUCAGUGUCAGUAGAGCCGUGUGUAUCCCCUGCCCCACCCACCUCCAGAUAAUCUGCCUCCGUCCGCGUAAACAUGCUGGAAAUGUUAAAAAUCUAGAAAAUAAUCAAAAGAAAAGGUGAGCGCCCCCUGCCGAGCCCCAC